UACGAAGGGGGCUAGCGUUGCUCGGAAUCACUGGGCGUAAAGCGCACGUAGGCGGAUCUUUAAGUCAGGGGUGAAAUCCUGGAGCUCAACUCCAGAACUGCCUUUGAUACUGUCGAUCUGGAGUAUGGAAGAGGUGAGUGGAAUUCCGAGUGUAGAGGUGAAAUUCGUAGAUAUUCGGAGGAACACCAGUGGCGAAGGCGGCUCACUGGUCCAUUACUGACGCUGAGGUGCGAAAGCGUGGGGAGCAAACAGG
rnacentral:rRNA from 1 species